UACGAAGGGGGGCUAGCGUUGUUCGGAAUUACUGGGCGUAAAGCGCACGUAGGCGGACUAUUAAGUCAGGGGUGAAAUCCCGGGGCUCAACCCCGGAACUGCCUUUGAUACUGGUAGUCUCGAGUCCGGAAGAGGUGAGUGGAAUUCCGAGUGUAGAGGUGAAAUGCGCAGAUAUCAGGAGGAACACCGGUGGCGAAGGCGGCGCUCUGGGCCGGAACUGACGCUGAGGAGCGAAAGCGUGGGGAGCAAACAGG
rnacentral:rRNA from 1 species